UUAGCCUUCUUGGCCAUUUGCUCAGAAGAUGUGUAGUUUCUGUUCUUGUCAGUUUAAUAUAUGAUAUGCCUCUUUUCUGGGACCAUAUACUUAAUAGCUUUUUGGAGCAGGGAGAUGGACUAGGGGCUUGCUAUGUCUACUCCAUACAUUGACCUGCUAUUGCAAUAUCUCCAGGAACCUAAGGAUAAAGG